GAUAUGUUCAAAAUUUUGUUCUUUGACGUCAACUGCCUAGGUUGCAACAACUAUUUAUAUCGAGCGCAACCUCAUCUAUGUGUCAUUCAUUCGAGUAAAUCACGACGCGUGGGCAGCUCGCAACAAUGAACUUCGCAAUAAUUCUCUCAAUCAUCCUCGCUUCAACGAACUUUGCCGGGUCGCAACAGAGCAGUGGCUGCGAGUCUGUACAAUGUCCAACGAGGAAUAAAGACGUUAAACCGCACCCUUUGCGCUGUGAUAGCUUCUGCAGGUGCGACUUCGGAACACCAGUCACGGCGAAAUGCCCUCGUGGACUACAUUUCAACCAACAUCUAAAGGUUUGUGACUUGCCCGAGAGAGUGAGAUGCACCAUAGAGGUUUCUGCCAGCAAUAAGUGUCAAGGAGUGCGGUGUCCUGCCCAGAACUUGGGCUUUGCUGUGCACAAGCCAAACCCUGGUGACUGCGGCAGUUACUGCAAAUGCAAUUGGGGAACUCCGAUUUGGUUCAAGUGCCCGAGCGGGCUACACUUCAAUCCAGAGCUUGAGGUGUGCGACUGGCCCCGGAACGCUGGAUGCACAGCUGAGAACGUGGACUCUUCAACCAGCCGGUCUCCAGAGAUGACCACUUUAGCCCCUACAAUUCCGACCCUUACCUCUACUGAAUUAAUAUCAGAAACACAUACAACAAUGAUAAAUACGAUAACCACACAGACACCAUCCACGUUUGAAACUACGACAUGGCCGACAUCUAGCGCUCCAACCACAGAUGAUGCUACUUCAGAAUAUUUUGAAAUUUUUACUGAGGUUUCUGACAUGGAGUGUGAAACUGAUAUAUACUGCUAACUAUAAGCAAAAUACAAGGUUCUUAAGCCGCUGAACGUUUAAGAUUUUCCUUAUUUGUAUUUUUAAGAAGUAAAUAAAGCUAAUUCGAAAAGAUAAUAUAA